rnacentral:rRNA from 1 species
GAUGAACGCUGGCGGCGUGCUUAACACAUGCAAGUUGGGCGAAGCGCUUACGACAGAACCUUCGGGGGAAGAUGUAAGGGACUGAGCGGCGGACGGGUGAGUAACGCGUGGGUAACCUGCCUCAUACAGGGGGAUAACAGUUGGAAACGGCUGCUAAUACCGCAUAAGCGCACAGUAUCGCAUGAUACGGUGUGAAAAACUCCGGUGGUAUGAGAUGGACCCGCGUCUGAUUAGCUAGUUGGAGGGGUAACGGCCCACCAAGGCGACGAUCAGUAGCCGGCCUGAGAGGGUGAACGGCCACAUUGGGACUGAGACACGGCCCAGACUCCUACGGGAGGCAGCAGUGGGGAAUAUUGCACAAUGGGGGAAACCCUGAUGCAGCGACGCCGCGUGAAGGAAGAAGUAUCUCGGUAUGUAAACUUCUAUCAGCAGGGAAGAAAAUGACGGUACCUGACGAAGAAGCCCCGGCUAACUACGUG